AUCUGUUUACAGAUUCGCCGACGAGUGGCGGAUGGGUGAGUAUCGCGUAUGCAAUCUUCAUUAUGCUAAGGAAUAGCCAGGGGAAACCCUGAUUAAUGCCUUAUAGUUUGCUUAAUCGGCAUCGAUCUAGCAAUAAAGAUUUAUCGGCAUAAUAUGAGCAUGCGUCUUAUUAGUUUGUAGGUAAGGUAACGGCUUACCUAGACUACGAUAAGUAGGGGCCCUGAGAGGGGGAUCCCCACACUGGAACUGAGACACGGUCCAGACUCC
rnacentral:rRNA from 1 species